rnacentral:lncRNA from 1 species
AAAUAAAAAACUCGCUUUAAGAACGAUAUUUGCCGAUUUUGAAGAAGCAAUUCAGCAAAGUGUCACUGAAGUUUGGACUAAUGUUUCAUUGAAGGGCUGCCGAUUCCAUUUAGGACAAUCCUGGUGGCGCAAAAUUCAGGCACUAGGUUUAACAUCCUUAUACAAAGACAAAGAGAGUGAUGUAGGAAAAUAUUUAACAUACUGCUUUGGAAUGCCAUUUCCCAACCCAGAAGAUGUAGGAGAUUGUUUUGUUGAAGCUUUAUCAUCAAUAAAGCCACAAAAUCAUAGAAUAGUAGAAUUUGCGGACUAUCUGGUCGAUAAUUAUAUCUCAGAAUCGGCUAAGUUUCCGCCAGAAAUAUGAGCGGAGAUGUCAAGCAGUUUACAACGGACGACGAACGCGUGUGAGAGUUUUCAUUCCAGGUUUAACUCGUAAUUUUAUUUUGCUCAUCCUCAUAAUUUUUAACAGUUUUAAUAGACUUUCAAAGUAAAACGUAUGUUAAAAUUAGAAGUAUACAAAAAAAAA